rnacentral:misc_RNA from 1 species
CCACCCUCAGGCCCCGCCUGGUGUUGGGGGCCGGCCGCCCUGCGCGGCCGCCCCCGAAAGACAGCGGCGGGCUCGCCCCGGUCCCGAGCGUAGUAGCAACACGUCGCUCCGGGCGCCGGGCGGGCUCUUGCCGUAAAACCCCCCAUACUUCUAU